AUGCGGAUCCGCAGGUCCGCCUCCCGCCUGCUGGGCUCUACCGCCGCCUCCUCCUGCCCGAAGCCGGAGCCGCCCCGAUUCGAGCUCCCCCGAUUGGAGCCGCCCCCGCCCCCGCCCCCGCCGCCAGCCCCAGCCCACGAAUCCGGCGCCGGGUUCGUGGGGCCCAAGACCUCCUCCGGCGGGGAGCCCUGCUGCGAGCUCAGCCGGUCGCCAUGGGACCUCAUGGCGCAGCUCGACCUCUCGGAUCCCCAGGUGGAGAAGCUCUUCGUGGAGACUAGUUUCAUGAGUGUUUCCUGGCGAGGUUGCUGGCUUUUCCCAGCAGGCAUCACCAUGCCUGCCGGCUCCAUCAAGGAGGAGGAAGACUUGGCCGUAGAUAUGGUUGACGGGGUCAUCUUGAAACUGCACAAAGCUGCGGAAAAGAUGGAGAGCAUGAAGAAUCAGAGCAAGCAGAAGAAGAAUAAGGGGCUCAAAGUGAAGAAAGGAGUGUGGACGUGCAGGAAGAAUGACGGCAAGAGGUGGUGCUGUCGGCGGCCCGUGAGUGAGCCCAACUUGUACUGCUCGUACCACUCAGAUCAGAAGCUCCCUGCCGGCGACAAGCCACGUAGGAAGAGGCCAGACAUUGACCUGGGUGAGGGGUUCUACUACUAUGCAGGGUUCGGCCCGGGCACCAAGAGGCGCCGCACGUCAAGCAGCGACAGUGUGCCGGAACUUCCACUGCCUGCUGAGCCACUGAAAGAGGAGGCACCAGACAAAAUGCAACUUGAUUUUAGUGCAGGUCAGGUACAAGCAGCGAAUGAAACCGACCAUCAAGUGGUGCUCUUGCCAUCAGCAAACAUUGUCGACGAGCCUGGCACUGCUGGGAUGUCGGCGUGUGACAAGGAGAGCGGUGAUGAUGUCGUGCCGGAAUUUUCAGUGGCUGCUAAACCACCGAAAGAGGAGCCACAGCCUGAAAUGGAACUUAAUUUUAGUGCAGGUCAGGCACAAGCUGAUGAGACAGACCAUCAAGAGGCACGGACAUCAGCACGUGUGGUCGACAAGCCUACGGGAAACGACGGCACCACCGGGAUCGCAGGCUGGGACGAGGAGAGCAGCGAUGACGAAGCGCUUGGCUGCAAUGGCGAACAACCCCGCGACACCAAGAGGAAGGGCCCGUUCAAGAAGAGGUGGAGGAAGCCUGUGAAAGCCCGGUCGCUCAAGUCACUGAUGAUGUCGUAG
rnacentral:rRNA from 1 species